rnacentral:tRNA from 1 species
CAAAAACGAAGAACUUCUCUUCUCAGGGCA